CUCCCUGAUGUUAGCGGCGGACGGGUGAGGAACACGUGGGUAACCUGCCUGUUGACUGGGAUAACUCCGGGAAACCGGGGCUAAUACCGGAUGCUUGUUUGAACCGCAUGGUUCAAACAUAAAAGGGGGCUUCGGCUACCACUUACAGAUGGACCCGCGGCGCAUUAGCUAGUUGGUGAGGUAAUGGCUCACCAAGGCAACGAUGCGUAGCCGACCUGAGAGGGUGAUCGGCCACACUGGGACUGAGACACGGCCCAGACUCCUACGGGAGGCAGCAGUAGGGAAUCUUCCGCAAUGGACGAAAGUCUGACGGAGCAACGCCGCGUGAGUGAUGAAGGUUUUCGGAUCGUAAAGCUCUGUUGUUAGGGAAGAACAAGUACCGUUCGAAUAGGGCGGUACCUUGACGGUACCUAACCAGAAAGCCACGGCUAACUACGUGCCAGCAGCCGCGGUAAUACGUAGGUGGCAAGCGUUGUCCGGAAUUAUUGGGCGUAAAGGGCUCGCAGGCGGUUCCUUAAGUCUGAUGUGAAAGCCCCCGGCUCAACCGGGGAGGGUCAUUGGAAACUGGGGAACUUGAGUGCAGAAGAGGAGAGUGGAAUUCCACGUGUAGCGGUGCGAAGGCGACUCUCUGGUCUGUAACUGACGCUGAGUAAACGAUGAGUGCUAAGUGUUAGGGGGUUUCCGCCCCUUAGUGCUGCAGCUAACGCAUUAAGCACUCCGCCUGGGGAGUACGGUCGCAAGACUGAAACUCAAAGGAAUUGACGGGGGCCCGCACAAGCGGUGGAGCAUGUGGUUUAAUUCGAAGCAACGCGAAGAACCUUACCAGGUCUUGACAUCCUCUGACAAUCCUAGAGAUAGGACGUCCCCUUCGGGGGCAGAGUGACAGGUGGUGCAUGGUUGUCGUCAGCUCGUGUCGUGAGAUGUUGGGUUAAGUCCCGCAACGAGCGCAACCCUUGAUCUUAGUUGCCAGCAUUCAGUUGGGCACUCUAAGGUGACUGCCGGUGACAAACCGGAGGAAGGUGGGGAUGACGUCAAAUCAUCAUGCCCCUUAUGACCUGGGCUACACACGUGCUACAAUGGACAGAACAAAGGGCAGCGAAACCGCGAGGUUAAGCCAAUCCCACAAUUCUGUUCUCAGUUCGGAUCGCAGUCUGCAACUCGACUGCGUGAAGCUGGAAUCGCUUGUAAUCGCGGAUCAGCAUGCCGCGGUGAAUCCGUUCCCGGGCCUUGUACACACCGCCCGUCACACCACGAGAGUUUGUUACACCCGAAGUCGGUGAGGU
rnacentral:rRNA from 1 species